GUCGCGCUAUGCUCCUUUGUUUAUUGUGCAUAAAUAGUGAAUUGUCCUGACACAAUAUUGCGUUUCGCUUCUGUUAUUAUGGUACAUUGACAAAAACAUAUACUUUUAUUCACAGGAUAAAACAGGUUUUUUGUAUCACUAAUUGCCCAGUACGAUUACAGCAUACAGUAUUAUUGUCACUGCUACAUUUCUGUGAUGCUACCAGAAAUUAUUUCCACUACUAAUUAAUUACCGUUGAGCUCAAAGGUCCUAUUAAUAAACGGUUAAGGAAUGUGUAUUUAUGACGACGAUUUGUGAGACUGGUAAACUUAUGAUACGUACGAUGGUCUUUCGUUCUACACGGUGCAUUUCAAGGUCCUGCACCCAUCCGUCGGUAAACUGUACCUGGGCUUGUUGCAGUGACCGGAAGUUACUAAACUUCAUGAGUGUGUGCACUCACUCCAAGAACCGUAUGAUUAUAAAUAUGCAUAUAAAUAUGCUAAGAUGAGAUAGCUGACUUCAUCUAACUAGCAAAUGUUUUCCAGGCUACGUUGGUGAUUCAGUUUUUUUUAAUAUGUAUGAUAUUUUUGUCAUGCGAUUUUAAAGCCGGUCCUACAACCGCAUCCAAGAAUAACAUGCAGCUUAUCACAGAACUGUCGGUGAAAAUUAUUCUUGGAGCUAGGUUUAAUUGAGCUGCAUUUUAAAGAGGUGCAAUUUCACAAUUUGUGUAUAUUUUCUAAGUUCACUAUUUUGUCAUGUGUUGAGAAAAACACAGAUUAAAAAAUUACAUGGUCUAAUAUUUACAUUUAGCAUAACUGCAACAUUAUUUUUUCGUUUUUUUUUUUUAAAGACUCGAAAGGACUUGAAAUUCAAAGUUUCAGACUUGUGACUUGACUCGGACUUUUACACCAGUGACUUGAGACUCGACUCUGACUUGCCUGACAUUACUUGAGACUUGACUUGAGACUUGAGGAUAAAGACUUGAGACUUACUUGAGACUUGCAAAACAAUGACUUGGUCCCACCUCUGUCUAUUAGUCCUUGCUCUGAUUGCCCUGUACCGUCUGCCUGAGGGCAACAGUUCGAACAGGGAGUGGCCAGGAUGUGAGGUGUCUUUUAUGAUGUUUUGGGCCUUUUUAAAACAGUGGGCAUUG
ensembl:lncRNA